rnacentral:lncRNA from 1 species
CUCGUGCAAAUUGGCCAAACUUGAAUCUUUCUCUACCCACUGGCGACUGUGGCCAACCGUGUCCACCUGCUUCAUCUGCAAUUCCUUGCAUCCAAGAGGCAGAGACAGGAAGAUUAAAAGUUUCAAGCUAUCUUCGGCCAUAUGAGACCCCGUCUCAUAGAAAAAUCUGAAAAGUAAACCAAGCAAGCAAGCAAACAAACAAACAAACAAACUAACUAACUAACUAACAAAACCCCAAACUAAGCAAAUUGAAGUCCCAGUCUUCAGUAGACAGAAUCAGGAGGAUUGCCGUAAGUUUGAGGUCACUCGAGGACAGAGUGAGAAGAACAAAACAAAACCCACAGGAAGGACAAAAUAGGUAUUGCUCUCCUGACUCAUUAACAAGUUAAAUUAACAAGAUAAAUUGUAUUUCCAGUUUCCGUGACAGCGAGGGACUGUUUCCUCUCGGUCUUCAAAAGUAGCUUCUUCCUGCUCUGCUCUCUCUCCCCGCCCGCGCCCCCAACUAGAUCAUAAAAGGACCAGGAGCCCUCCCCAACGUCCACCUACGCCCAAGGCUUCCCACCAAGUGGUUCGGGAAUCAGCGUCGGGAAAACAGCUUAUUGGAGUUGGUGAAUGAAUUAGGUCAUGAAUGCUAACCAACAACCCCUCAAAAAAUGGUCUUUCCAAUCACACCUUUGCCUCAUGCUCCAAUUCCUGAACAGGAGAAAGAAAGAGUGCUGAAAUCUUGUUAAGACUGAAGUAGCUGCAUAGGAGAACAUUCUGUAUAAUUCUACAUGCUAAAAAUAUUUAAAACAUGACCAUCCUCAGCUUUUGUAAG